UACCUAAAUUUAGGGGGGAGAGCUUUCCUAAGCUAAUCCAUAACCUGAAAAUGUGGAUGUAAAGGAGAGAGAACCUGAGGAAUACAAUUUCCUAGUGGUAAUUAUUUCCCACCGACUCAGAUGGAAGGACAGCGUGGACACCUAACAAAUACUGAUAAGGAGAAUAUGCCAAGUCAACUGGAUGAGUCAGCACGGGCAACAUAAAGGACCGCAGUUAAAAGCUAGGGCUAGGACUUGGAGGAUGUGUAGGCAAACGGAAGGAGAGCCGGGGGAAGAAAAGCCGAAAUGGAUUCAUUCUCCGUCCUGGCUGGAGGAGGAGAGGAGCGGGGACGUGCGGGCUGCCUGCAGCUGCCUCUGUCCGGUGAGAAGUGCUCAGAGCCCCGCGGCUGACUCGGGCUCAGGAGUCCGCGCGGACUUUCGCUCUAAGCUGCCAAUCAAACCGCUAACUAGCCACCACCCUGCGCUGGCACCGACAUGAGCCGAGGGAUCGCCUUGUGCCAGAGCCACCUCCGCAGCCCCUUCGGCCACCCCAGCCCCGAGCAGAGGCUGAGCACAUCUGAAUAUUCCUAUUCAACUCUGCAAACAGCCAGAGAUACUCCAAAACCGUGCGUGAGACCAGAUGAUGUGAAACUUUCCACCAUUAAACCCCUGUUCAGGCGCGCUCCAGAAGCAGGCAGCGCAUAGCAGCCCGGGGAUGCUGACAGACUGUUUGUCAUCGGAAGCCCUAAGCAGGUUUUUCCCCACUAACACCGCGUGCUGCGCUGUGCUCCCUUUCAGAAGAUGCUCUUUAAGUAUAGGAACACUUGACAAAUUUGCAUAAAAGCUUCAUCGUACAAGAUUGCUUGGAAGUUAAGCAGCAGCAGUUUUCCCCUAUUGUUUUAGGAAUAGAGAGUGCACUUUGUUUUCUUGUUUGCUCAGUGUACUUCCUGAUCCCUUGGUGCAUUUCUGUCAGCAUCACGGGACCUUGCUUACCUGGUAGAUUUUAAGUGUGAAAUGGGUCAUGUUCAAAGUACCCGAAAAAAACAACAGUAAUGGUGUCUGACAACUUUUUUUUUUUUUUUUUUUUUUUGCUCUUGUUAAAUAAUAUUUCAUGGUGCAUUAAGUGGGUUACGCAGCCUCUUCUGAGGAGACCACAGCAGUGUAUUGCUGCGUGCUCUGUGCUGUCGUCAGGCUGUUAGUUCUUAACUGGAGAAAAGCUGAAGGCAGCUGGAAUCCCUUCCUGAGCCUUUUCUCAGUUCUGAAUUUGAUAAAAAAUGGCAAUAAUUUGGAGACAGAUAUAGAAAGAAAAAAUAAAAAUGAUUUCACAAUAAGCCCCUUAGUGUGCCACUUGCGACCACAGGCAGAUAUUGGAAGUGCUAAAUCCACUGAACUUUACUUUUCCAGAAGCUGAAAUGUUUUCAGCCAAAUCUAUUUCUUGCUGGCAGCUUCAGAUGCUGUAGCUGGAACCAGAGCAGCCCAAGGAGAGAAGCAAACAAUUAAAACAUUUACAUGUUUGCUUCUUGAUAGACAUCUCUGCGAGGUAGGUUUUAACGUUUUUUUUUUUCUCUCUCUUUUUUUUUUUUUUUGCGGUAAGACGGAUAAGCUUGGAGUGCCCAGUCACCGUGGUAACUGCCAGAAAAAUUCUCCUGAAGUUUGAAGGGGUCAGCGCGCGGGGUCAACAACUCUGGCCUCUCCCCGCGCCGGGGCUGCAGGCUCCAUCCCGCGGCCGGGCCUUUGCGCGGGCUCAGCCCUGGGAGGUGGGCCGCUCCCGCUCUGAUAUAAAUUUUUUGAGUCAGUUCACGGCCUGGACUCUCCAGGUGGCCUCCAAAAUCGAUCGUGACCUUGUGACCCUGUCUAACGGAGGCAUAGCAUCCAACCUAAGUAAGGAUUUAGGCAGGAGCGACAGCUUUCCGCUGAGUGUUAUUGGGGACAGUGCAAACAGUUUUGGAAGCGAGGAGGUAGGUAUGAGGAGCUGAGGUCAUUAAAGGCACAUUAAAAAACAAUUUUAAAAGUCCUCGUUAGUGGAAAGUUCGUAUUAGCAUUAACUAUUCCUCAAAUAAACCGUUCUGUCAAGGACCCUUUUUUUCUCCCUAACAAUAUUACAUCAAGCAUGAACACAGGAAAAAUUAGCACUUUAUAUAUUCCAACCCAAACUCUUGUUUUGAUUUUUAACUUAUAAACGAAGGUGGCUCAUGUGUGGUGAGACGAGCUCCUGGGAAGCACGCUUUUGCUUUAAAUUCUUAAAACACAGGAGAUGACUUAAUAAAGCAGGAUGUUUUUUAGGGAGGAAUAUCUCUAAUGUAUGUGUUCUUUUUAGAUUCAAGAAGCACUUAAUUGGUAUAAAUUUAUUUUUAAACUGGGAAAUUAAGUCACACUCAGAAUGGAAUGAAAGUAGAGUUUCACAGGCUGCUUCCUUUGCUGAUCUGUAAUACAAAGGGACAAACCACAGCUUUGGAUAUAGAUGUUUUUGCAGAAGAAAAUUUUCAUCUUGCUUUAAGAGAAUAGAGAAAGUUAUAUUCUUCCUGUAAGAUUUUAAGCAACAAACCAUUGGGGUGGGGGCAAGGGUAGGCUGCUGCAGAGGUCUGAUUUUGUUAAAACAAAUCUAUAAACUUGUCCCCUGAGCAAGAGGACUUGCUGUCCUGGUUGAUUACUGCCCCUGCGAGCUCCCAGCUCUGUACACUGCGCUCACAAUCACAGUCACCAGGUGAGUAAGUGGAACUGCAUGGAGGAGCAAAGUCCAGUCUCCAAGGAGGAAAAUGCUCUCAAACUCUGAGUGACUUUAAAACUGCUAUGAAGGAAGAAAAUUGCAUUAAUGUUUGUUCCCAGUCUUGGAAAAAUUACACAAACUUAUCCCAGUGGGAAUCCUGCCCAAAGACUUCUUGUGCUCCCCAUGCUAAAUGGCUUCGCCCCGCCACGCAGUGCCAUCCACUGCAGCAGUGAGAGCCUCUUGCUAGGACUGGGGCAAAGCCCGACUCUGCACAAAGCCCAGAACCAGGGCCACCUAUUGGCCAAGGUCCUGCCUCCUAGGGCUGCCAUAAUCUGCCUGAAGGGGUUAUCUGAAAAGCAGGAGAGGAAUUGCUACUAAUAAGAGGGGCAGAACUGUGCCCUAAAUAAUGUGAGGCCCAGACCUGCACAUGCAGUAUCAGUAGCAACACUCACUCUCAUUCCAUCCUCACUAUUGCCCAUAGUUUUUUGCUGUUAUUUUUUAAUAGAACUGUACCAAAAACAAUUUAUUCACAUUAGCACAUGUGUUGGUUCAGGGGAGUGCCCUCUAUGACUAAGCUUGGCAAGGCAGAGCUCACAGUCCUUGGUGAGGAUCAGCGUAUUUGAUUCGUUUUCAGAAAAAGCAUUUAAAAAUAGGAAUUGCAAGCAGCUGCAAGGUGAAUCCUCAGUGGUUUCAAAAGCAACUGCAGAAUUUUUAGUAGCUUUCUUUCUUUCUUUCUUUCUUUUUUUAAUAUUCAUAUCUCCUUUGUAAAGUGAGCAUACAGUGUCCCAGUUCCACCUGACAAGCAGGGUGGAUGAUCCAACCAUCUAAAGCAGAGGAUCCAACCAUCGCACUGGAACUCUGGAAAGAAUUACCCCAAACUUUCUCAAAAGACUUGGGAGGAGGAAUCAUCAGCAGAGGGAGUGACAAGGGUGUCUCCAGACCGUUUACUUGCUGCAAAUUCUUUUGAGCUGAACGCUAUAGAUCCUGUCCAAUUUAUAAUCAACUGCAAAUCUACAAAUGCUACUUGAAACAGGCCCCUGGGUUUGCAUCUUUUGUAACUCUUCACCUUUUUUUAUUGCUCAUCUCAUGCAGCUGGGAUGUGGCGUGUGUUGACAGUUGCUGCAGUGGGACUGCUCAUCUUCCUUGGCCCCUCCAGAUCUGGGAAGUUCCCACUCCCAAUCAUCUGAUUCCAUGAAAUACCUUCUGAAGUGCAGACUGCUUUCAUUUGAACAGAACGAUAUACAUGAAUGGGCUUAACACAGUGUUAGAGAUGAGCGGUCGGAAUCAGCAAGGGCGCUGGGCUGGUGGUUCCCAGCCUCUAUCAUAUGGAUCACUGAUAAUCCAUGGGGCCUUGGCAAGAUGCUAUGGAGCCUGGGUGACAUCAGAAGGAGAAACUUACUAGAAGAAGUCUUUGCUACUAUACAUAUAGAAGAAUUAUGAUGGUGGUGCCCUGCUGUUGAUCAGUCAAAUCUGUGGUGGGCCUAGAGAUAAGUCCUAAUCUGGGAUAGUUUCACUCCGAACAACAAACGUGGACACUGCUGAACGGGGAGGAGGAGGGGAACCCAGCCACCCAAUGUUUGCAGACUCUGGCGCAGCAAAGUGGUGGACUCAAGGCAAGUUCUGCCACGGAAUGGCUGCUGCACGUAUCUGCUUGUGCAGUGGGUAAACAAAGCAUCACAUGGGCUGCAGGCUGAGCACGAGGCAUGUGGCUGACCCAUACGUGUAUGAGGCAUGCAGGAGGGACAGCGAAUUUCAAACAUUGUUAGAGCCUGAUGGGAUAUUCAGGAACUUCCCCCAAAAAACUCAAACAGAACAAACCUCAAAUUGAUUAUAACUGAAAAAUUAUUUGGCUUGAUUUCUACUGUUUUUCUACAAGUUUCAGUGAAU